ensembl:lncRNA
GUAUUGCAGGGCCAAGCCCAUGGAGCAGCCCAGCAGGGGCUCGAACCCUGGCCCCCUCCUCCUUGGGCCUCCGUUCCCUAUCUGUCAAGAGCAGGCUACAACACGAUCAUGACAGCCAUUCUCUGAGGAUCUCCUGCUGGGGGAGCCGAGGAUUCAUUGCCAAAAGGCACAGCCUCAGGUAGAUGCUCCAGUGAGGAAGACAGCAAGACAAACAAGCACGGCAGUGCAGAGGCCGACCUCAGGCUCCGUGCCCCAUCCCAGACUGCAUCACCUGACACUAGAUUCACACCUGGGUGUGUCUGGACCAGUACCUUGUCAAGGCCAAGGACGGGGAGGGCAAUCUCGCUCCUGUUGUAGACACAGAGCCCAACCCGGCACCAGGAAGCACUCCAUUAAUAUUCACAAAAGGACCGAAGAAUGAAAAAAUGUCUUGGAGCUUAAAAGAAAGGGUGCCCAUACACAAGGCCAUGGCAUGGCAGGGGUGGGGUGGGGGAGCAGGAAGGAGCCCACACAAUUAAUACACAAUUUGCCCACUUGAAGGAUGGAGAAACUGAGACUGAAAGAGGCUAGGGGAUGUGCCCAAGGACCUCAAAGCUACAAGAAUGGCGCAGGACCCGCAGCUCCCCAGAUACAAGAUAGGCUGGUACAUAUAAAUUCCAGGUACAGCUGCUUCAAGCAUCAGAGGGGUAAUGUUUGCAGGUCUGAGACUCCUCAAAACGCUGAGUACAGGUGAGGGUGCAGUAUCCCAUCUUCUCUCCAAAGCCUCAAAACAGCUCUGGGUGGCAGAUAGACCCUCAUACCACAGACAGAAAAACCGGGGCUCUGGGAGAGGGUGUAGGAUUCCCCAACCCCAGGCCCUUCUUGGUCAGUACCUCAGUGGGACUCUCCUGCUGACUGGCGGUUCCACCUCCAUCCCCUCUGAAAUUCACCAGCACGGGGUGCAGACCUGGGCCCGGGCCUGAAUCUGCCUCUGCCGACUGGGUGACUCGGGCAGGGACCAGCCCUCUUUGAGCCUCAGCUUUCCCAAGAGCCAUCUCCUCUGCCCCACGCAGCUGCUUCAAGGAGCAGAGGAAAGAGCAUGCAUGGACGAUCAGUCACUUCAGUCGUCUCCGACUCUUUGCGAUCCUGUGAACUGUACCUGCCAGGCUCCUCUGUCCAUGGGAUUCUCCAGGCA